rnacentral:rRNA from 1 species
UACGAAGGGGGCUAGCGUUGCUCGGAAUCACUGGGCGUAAAGGGCGCGUAGGCGGGCUCUUAAGUCAGGGGUGAAAGCCCAAGGCUCAACCCUGGAAUUGCCUUUGAUACUGAGGGCCUUGAGACCGGAAGAGGUCGGCGGAACUGCGAGUGUAGAGGUGAAAUUCGUAGAUAUUCGCAAGAACACCAGUGGCGAAGGCGGCCGACUGGUCCGGUUCUGACGCUGAGGCGCGAAAGCUAGGGGAGCAAACGGG